AUUCAAAUAGUUUAAUAAAAAUACUGGGUUGUGGUGCCAGUGAUGUAGUGACUACUUUGAAUG
rnacentral:tRNA from 1 species